ensembl:snoRNA LOC120102074 small nucleolar RNA SNORA17
GUUAUCAGUACAUCACAUGUACUGACGUGUCACAUGUACAUGUAGAUGGCAGAGAGGAGAAAGGCUGUGUCUAUGCUCAGUGCUCUGACCUGUGAACAUCUGAAUGAUUGGUAUUCCCUGAAA